CCCUAUUAUAAAAAUUUAAAUUAAUUUACUAAAAAAUUAAUAGUUAUGUUCUUUAAAUUUAAAAAAUUUGGCGGUAUUUUAGUCUUAUUAGAGGAAUCUGUUUAUUAAUUGAUAAUCCACGAUUAAUUUUACUUAUUUUAAUUAAUUCAUAUAUCGCUGUCAUGAAUAUAUUUAAAAAUUUAUUUUCUUUAAUUAUUUUAAUAAUUUAUGUUAAGUCAAGAUGUGGUUUAUAAAUAAGAAUAUAAUGGGUUACAUUAAAUUUUAUUUUUGGAUUUAAAAUGAAAAUUAAAAUGAAAUUGGAUUUAAUAGUAAGUUUAAUUAAUUUAUUAGUAUGAAUAAAGAUCUAAAUU
rnacentral:rRNA from 1 species